rnacentral:rRNA from 1 species
UGGGGAAUAUUGGACAAUGGGCGAAAGCCUGAUCCAGCAAUGCCGCGUGAGUGAUGAAGGCCUUAGGGUUGUAAAGCUCUUUUACCCGGGAAGAUAAUGACUGUACCGGGAGAAUAAGCCCCGGCUAACUCCGUGCCAGCAGCCGCGGUAAUACGGAGGGGGCUAGCGUUGUUCGGAAUUACUGGGCGUAAAGCGUACGUAGGCGGCUUUGUAAGUUAGAGGUGAAAGCCCGGGGCUCAACCCCGGAAUUGCCUUUAAGACUGCAUCGCUUGAACGUCGGAGAGGUGAGUGGAAUUCCGAGUGUAGAGGUGAAAUUCGUAGAUAUUCGGAAGAACACCAGUGGCGAAGGCGGCUCACUGGACGACUGUUGACGCUGAGGUACGAAAGCGUGGGGAGCAAACA